rnacentral:rRNA from 1 species
CUGGUUGAUCCUGCCAGAGGUCACUGCUAUCGGGGUUCGAUUAAGCCAUGCGAGUCGAGAGGGUUCAGACCCUCGGCGGACUGCUCAGUAACACGUGGAUAACCUGCCCUAAGGUGGAGCAUAACCCCGGGAAACUGGGGAUAAUACUCCAUAGGUUAGAGAUACUGGAAUGUUCUUUAAUCGAAAGUUCCGGCGCCUUAGGAUGGAUCUGCGGCCGAUUAGGUAGUUGUUGGGGUAACGGCCCAACAAGCCUGUAAUCGGUACGGGUUGUGGGAGCAAGAGCCCGGAGAUGGAGUCUGAGACACGAUUCCAGGCCCUACGGGGCGCAGUAGGCGCGAAAACUUUACAAUGCAGGAAACUGUGAUAAGGGAACCCCGAGUGCCCGUAUACGCGGGCUGUCCGGGUGUAUAAAAAGCAUCUGAAGAAAGGGCCGGGCAAGACCGGUGCCAGCCGCCGCGGUAAUACCGGCGGCUCAAGUGGUGACCACUUUUAUUGGGCUUAAAGCGUUCGUAGCUGGACUCUUAAGUCUCUUGGGAAAUCCCGCGGCUCAACCGUGGGGCGUUUAAGAGAUACUGGGAGUCUAGGAACCGGGAGAGGUAAGAGGUACUUCGGGGGUAGAAGUGAAAUUCUGUAAUCCUCGAGGGACCACCGAUGGCGAAGGCAUCUUACCAGAACGGCUUCGACAGUGAGGAACGAAAGCUGGGGGAGCGAACGGGAUUAGAUACCCCGGUAGUCCCAGCCGUAAACGAUGCGCGUUAGGUGUACUGGUGACCACGAGUCACUGGGGUGCCGAAGGGAAACCGUGAAACGUGCCACCUGGGAAGUACGGUCGCAAGGCUGAAACUUAAAGGAAUUGGCGGGGGAGCACCAC